rnacentral:rRNA from 1 species
GACGAACGCUGGCGGCGUGCUUAACACAUGCAAGUCGAACGAAGAGCGACGGAAGCUUGCUUCUAUCAAUCUUAGUGGCGAACGGGUGAGUAACGCGUAAUCAACCUGCCCUUCAGAGGGGGACAACAGUUGGAAACGACUGCUAAUACCGCAUACGAUCUAACCUCGGCAUCGAGGAUAGAUGAAAGGUGGCCUCUACAUGUAAGCUAUCACUGAAGGAGGGGAUUGCGUCUGAUUAGCUAGAUGGAGGGGUAACGGCCCACCAAGGCGAGGAUCAGUAGCCGGUAUGAGAGGAUGAACGGCCACAUUGGGACUGAGACACGGCCCAGACUCCUACGGGAGGCAGCAGGGGGGAAUCUUCCGCAAUGGACGAAAGUCUGACGGAGCAACGCCGCGUGAGGGAUGACGGCCUUCGGGUUGUAAAGCUCUGUUAAUCGGGACGAAAGGCCUUCUUGCGAAUAGUGAGAAGGAUUGACGGUACCGGAAGAGAAAGCCACGGCUAACUACGUG